GAUGUCGGAAUUAUUUAUUCAAGAAUAACUUAUUCGUGUGUAGGGAUGCAAAUGGACCCUGGUUGGUAGAGCUCCCGUCCCGAUUCGCUCCGAAUGGGGCGAUAAGUGGGAACAAAAAAUAUAGAAAAAUAUAAUCAGUUAUGAUCCACCAAGUAAAUGGAGUGGGAGGUAGGAGAUCCUUUUCUUCCUUCAAUCCGCCCCGAUCAGUCAGAAAUCUGCCAAAAAUUCGCUCCUUUC
rnacentral:lncRNA from 1 species